UACGUAGGGACCAAGCGUUGUCCGGAAUCAUUGGGCGUAAAGAGCGUGUAGGCGGCUUGUUAAGUCUUGUGUGAAAUCUCGGGGCUCAACCCCGAGCGGUCAUGAGAAACUGGCAGGCUAGAGUGCGGGAGAGGAGAGUGGAAUUCCUGGUGUAGCGGUGAAAUGCGUAGAUAUCAUUGGAACGCCAAUGGUGAAACAGGUAGCUGGGAGUGUGCUGACACUGAGACACGAAAGCCAGGGGAGGCGAACGGG
rnacentral:rRNA from 1 species